UUCUCCUUUAUAUCUUUUUUGUUUGCCCAAUAUUUGGGUCUAUCUCCUCCUCUAGAAAAUUCUUCAAAGUUAUUUUCUUUUUCAUUUUUCUGAGAUCGAAUAUUGAGUUUAGAUCGGAAUGCACUUUCUAUAGGACUUUCAUUCCGACUACUCAAUCUUUUCUCAUAAGCUUCUAAAGAGCCUAUCAAUUCUGUCACCGAAAGAUUCGAUAUGUCUUUCAAAUGUUCGAUGGAAGUUACUAUUGGGUCAUAUUUUUCAGUGAGGCUAAUGAGUAUUUUUUUUCAACUACUCUAGUCUCACUAAUAUUUUCACCAUAGGCUCUUUAUUGAUUUACUAUUUUCUUUAACCAGGAAUAGUAAUCUUUAACGAUUUCAAAAUCUUUCAUUUUUAAAUUUUCUAAGUCUCUCCUCAUUGUUUGUAGUUUAACAGAACGUACCUUUGCCGUCCCUUGAAACUCCUCCUUUAGUCGAUCCCAAGCUUCUUUUGAUGUGGUAGCUCCCAUGAUUCUUGAAAAAUUUGUAUCGUCCACUGCUUGUUGAAUGGCAAAAAAAGCACUAGCAUCUCUUAGUUUUUCUUUCUUCUCUUGCCACAAUUGCUCCACCGUCGGAUUUUCUGGAGUCGAGAAUCAUUUCUCUACUAUGUCCCAUAGAUCUUGAGACAUGAAGAAGGUUCUCAUCUUGAUACUCCAAAACUCAUAGUGUUCUCCCUUGAAGAUGGGAAGAGGAAUAGAUGUUUGGUUGGAGGUGGAGGAAGACAUGGUGGAAGACACAAAUCAACGCCCCAAAUUUGAUCGAAGCAAGCUCUGAUCCUACUGUUAGAAUUUGUGGCUUUGAUACCACUGUUGUAAUUUGGGGCGGAAGUUUUAGUAGUAGUGGGCUAGGACAAUGUGUUUAGGACUUUAGUUUUGGGAGCAAGGGUUUGGGAGAAGGAGUUAAAAUUGAGGAGGUUGUUUUAAUUAAACAUAUAUUAAGCGUGGAUGCACUCUUACACUGUUCUAAGUACAGUAAACAAUCGAUAUUGACCUCACGUUUGUGGGAUAUUAUGAGGCUGCCAUUCGUGAGGGUUGAAAUGUCGUUUUUGGCCUUUGGUUUUUUCUGAUAAGAUGAUCAUUGUCAGCUUUGCAAUUGACGGAGUUGCAUCAAGAUUGGAAAAAAAGGGCUUGGUUGCGCGUUUCUGGACACAGGAAGAUUUUGCUGAAAAUAGAUGGGUCGGAAAGUAACUAAGUUUUGUAAGGUUUAAUUGGUUUCAAAAGGCUUUGGAAAUCUGGUAUUUUUCAUAAAAGUGUUGUUCACUUUUUGCAAAUUUCAUGCAAAGAAGUUUGUGUAUCAUUGGUUUGUCGCUGUUCCUUGGUCUGCUGUUCAGUAUUGUCUUCGUCUUUUAUUUGCAUUCAGAUUUGGGGAACAGUGUGCUGUCAGAUAGUUUAACUGUCUACAGUCCAAGUAUCUAUUUGCUAUUGUGCUGUCAAAUUGAGUAGUUACAUAUAUUUAUACAUUCAGAGGUUCCAAAACUGUGCAUUGACAACAUUUAAAACGGUAUCCAUUUUGAAUUUUACCAGGUGAAUAUGGUGAGAUUGUUGUGCCAAUCCAUCCAAGCCAUCCAGCCAGCAAAAUUUAGCUAUGAUUAUGAAUGAAUUCUACCAAUAUUUUGCUGGAUGCCUUAGAUGGAACGGUUCUUGACAAUAGCAGAUAGAACCAUUUAUGAGUGAUCUGCUUACACGAACACCGGUCAAAGCAUACUCCACCAAACACUACAGUGCUUUGCAUGUUCUGGGCAUGCGGAGAGCGUUUAUCCUUACUACGUGCUUCACAGGUCAUAAUUUUGGACAUCCAUCUUAAUCCCUCUCUCACCUGGCAACCAAUUGACCAUGCAUUUACACCUGGUCAAAAGAGGAAACUAUUCAUAGCUGCUGAUUCCCCUGAAGAAGAACAUCAUGGUACCUGCUUCCAAAAAGUAUUUCAAUUGAACGAAUAUCGUGGUUAUCAGGAUUUUGAGGUCGAACAUGUGAACGUCCUGUACAGAAGGCAGGUCCUUCCAUGAUAAUAAGGCUCACGUAUAGAAUAGGGAAAGUUGUCACAAAAGCUUUUAAACUUGCCACCAUCAACUUUAGCACUGGCUAGAGCAACAAUUGCAGAAGCAGAAAUCCUUUCAAUACAACAAGAACGUUAUCUUCGAUCUACGUUUCUUCCAUUGAACAUACAUUUCAUGUAACAACUUUAAACGCAAUUCACCAAUGCCAGGCCCCCUCAGACUAAACUCAGCGUUUGUCUGAAUGUAAAUGUUCAAAGAACAUGAACUUGAAACCAGA